ACACGUAGGAACCGAGCGUUGUCCGGAUUUACUGGGCGUAAAGGGCGAGUAGGUGGCUUGCUAAGUCUUGUGUGAAAUCUCCCGGCUCAACUGGGAGGGGUCAUGAGAUACUGGCGGGCUCGAGGGCAGUAGAGGAAAGUGGAAUUCCCGGAGGAGUGGUGGAAUGCGUAGAUACCGGGAGGAACACCAGUGGCGAAAGCGACUUUCUGGGCUGUUCCUGACACUGAGGCGCGAAAGCAUGGGGAGCAAACCGGAUUAGAAACCCCGGUAGUCC
rnacentral:rRNA from 1 species